UCUACGCUAUCAACACCUACAUCUUCUCUGCACCGCAAAACUCAGCCACUUCAUCUUCUCUGCUCUACGAAACUCAGCCCCUUCAUAUGGUUUGUUUUUCUAGUUCACUCGGUGGCUGCUGGUUCAUCAGGUUUGCUUAAAACAGAUACCAAAAUGUAAGUGUAGGUAGAAUUGUGAUUGGAUUAUAUGGUUAGGUUGUACCAAAAACUGUUGGUACGUGUUCAUUUCAUGUUGGUUUGUUUGUGACAAAUGAAAUGGCAAGAGAGCUGGGAAAUAUUCUUCUUCUACAGGCCAAAAGUUAACAAAGAGGAAGCUCACAGCCCAGAUGAUGUUCUAGUGAAAAAGGUGCAAAGAAGAAGGGAUCAAAUUCUAGUGAAAAAGGUUCUAGCGGUAGUCAAAGUAGUGAAGGUGGGCAUGGUAGGCAGGAAGUGAACAUUGAGAACCAACCAUUGCUGAGGUUCAUAGUGAUGGGAAGGAAAUCCUAUACUAUGAAAAAUUAUGUAUUAUUUUUCCCCAAAAAUCUUUUUUAUAUGACCCAAAAUUCUAUGAAGUUUGUAUGAGGUUCUGCAUUAUUAA